GUUGAGUCAACUGUUACCUGCCCAAACAAAAUUUUUAAGUAUGACAGAUGGGAAGUUAUUAAAUAGAACGUUUUGCGCAUGUGUGUUACGUUUAAAUUUUUUUGUCUCAUAAAGACAGUGCUCACUGACAAUGAGGUAGAGUUAUUAUACUUACACGAGAUGUAAGUUAGUUUACAGCGAUAGAAAACCUUGAGUGAUUGAGAAGGCUUUAGAUAGAAUUUCGUAAGCAAAAAAAAAUCAUAAAGGAACAAGCACAGCGUCUUAAUACAAACAUAUUCCAAAAAAAACAACAUAAAAACUGCAGUCACGAUAAAAAAAAAAUGUUUAAAACUAAAACUUUCACAUUACCAUUAAUACUAUUACUUUCCACAAUAAAUGCAACAUUUUGUAGUAAUAUUACGAAAAUUUUGAUCUUAUAACCUUUAGUAACUGUAACUGGGUAACUGAACUGUAGCAACU
rnacentral:misc_RNA from 1 species